rnacentral:rRNA from 1 species
UACGUAGGGUCCGAGCGUUGUCCGGAAUUACUGGGCGUAAAGAGCUCGUAGGUGGUUUGUCGCGUUGUUCGUGAAAACUCACAGCUUAACUGUGGGCGUGCGGGCGAUACGGGCAGACUUGAGUACUGCAGGGGAGACUGGAAUUCCUGGUGUAGCGGUGGAAUGCGCAGAUAUCAGGAGGAACACCGGUGGCGAAGGCGGGUCUCUGGGCCAUUACUGACGCUGAUGCUCGAAAGCUAGGGGAGCAAACAGG